UUUAAUGAACCGAUCAAUAAAUCAAGUAUAAUCAAUGAAGAAAAGUUAGUAAAAAAAAGAAAAAUCACCGAUAGAUCCGCUCUAGUCUCGGGUUGCAAGAUCGUCGACGUCCUAGACUGUCUGGGAGAGGGUCGACAACUAUUGUCCCUCAGAACUUCGUCGAGGACAGGAAAUCCCAUGACUCGUGAGUCCGCGUUCAAUUCAAUUUUCAGGUCAGCAUGCAAGUCAAGUACGUCCUGAGACGCACGUGGUUCACGUGUCUACAGGUGCCCAACGUGAACAACGAGCACUGCUGGCGAGACAGGCAGCGUUACAUGUAUCUUAGACUGCGCCGUCUGGUCGGCAGCUUCAAUAAGCAUCUGUAUCACAAGUUGCAUUACGAGCGCAAGGUCCUUCUUCGAGCAACAGUAAUUCCCGUAAAAUCGGUCGCAAUACACAGUACAGCGAUUAAAUAA
rnacentral:misc_RNA from 1 species